UACCAGCACCCCGAGUGGUCGGGACGAUUAUUGGGCCUAAAGCAUCCGUAGCCGGUUUUACAAGUCCUCCGUUAAAUCCAGCUGCUUAACAGAUGGGCUGCGGAGGAUACUAUAAGACUAGGAGGCAGGAGAGGCAAGCGGUACUCGAUGGGUAGGGGUAAAAUCCGUUGAUCCAUUGAAGACCACCAGUGGCGAAGGCGGCUUGCCAGAACGCGCUCGACGGUGAGGGAUGAAAGCUGGGGGAGCAAACCGG
rnacentral:rRNA from 1 species